rnacentral:lncRNA from 1 species
AGAAGGAAUGGGGAAUGUUAAAGUGAUUAUGAAUAAUGGAAAAUUUGGGUUAGUUUAGAACGUCUGGUAUGUUCUUGGCAUGAAGAACAAUCUGGUGAGUGUAGGUAAAUUAAUUGAAAAGGGAUUCUAAGUUACCAUGAAGGACAAUCUUUUGAAGUUGUAUGAGUGUAAUUAGAAGCUAAUUAUGGAGUCAGAACAUGGAAGGAAUAGAACAUUCAUGGUGAAUGUUAAAACUGCGGACCCUGAAUUCCUUAGUGCAACAAGUGUUGUGAAGGAAAG